CUUUGAUCAUGGCUACUUCGUUUUAGUAUUUUAUGGCAAAUGCAGAAAGCUUUUUGAUUUGAGGAAGGUUUCAGUUGAUUUCAGUUUGUUGGUCGUAGCUCUAGAGGUCCUAUCCACUGAAAAUGGGUUUUCCCAAGGAACCUAAAACAAUGGGCUACUACUCCGAAUCGGGUUAUACCCGAACCUUUUUAACCCACUGGGUCCAUAUAUUCAAGAGUCGAGGCCCUUCUCUUUCCCUCCCUAUCACUCUUCCUGCCCGUGUGUCUCGGAGCCACGCGCCUUAACUCUUCACUCGCGUGGUGAUAGUUCAACUAAAGUUGGAGUAAUGGAAUUGGGUUCUUAAUUUUGUUCAUGAAACACAACCAACGGCAAAAAAAAAAAAGUUGCAGUGGCAAUGACUAAGCAAAUAUUAAGAAUCAGGUUUGUCAUAAAUGGAGUACCAUAGCAACAUGAUUCAUGUAGCUGACCUCAUAUAGUGGGACUUGCUUAAGAAUAAGAAAGAGGAAGCUCAUACAUGCAGUUAUAUUUCAUCUUCUAGCUCGGAUGGUUGUCGUUAUUGUUUUUGUUCCUUGUUAUAUAAGAUUAAUUUGUGCUGGAUAAACCACUGAGAAGAAUGUGUGGUGGUAAACAGGCUCAGGAUGACCUGUUGGGAAGCAAGGCUUUGGACCAAAACUCUGAAGCCUUCACAAGGAGGAUAGAUGCUCUUCUAGUUGAGAUUGAAGAGUGCAUGCAUGAGCUGGAAGAAGCACUUGAUGGUCUUGAAGAAGUUAUUGCACUAAUUAACAAGAUUAACUGUUUCUUUGGUGCGAUUCUGGUAAUUUUAUGUCUGUUUCAAUUGCUUAAAUCUGUGGGGUUACUCUGAGCAUACCCAACUAUAGGGUUUGUGGUCUGCUUAUGAAUGUCACCUAGCUUGUUCUUAUGUUUACAGGUAUAGUUUACUGACCAUUUGUGGUCUUCUUUUGCCUAUGUUUGUAAAUAUAGCUGACUGACCAUUUCUGGUUUUAUUUUACCUAUGAGGGUAUGAAUAAUGUAUAGUGUUUUUCUUUUUUGGCUUCUUUUGUGGCUUCCAUAUCUUCACUUCGUUUCCAUUUUUUCUUUUUCUUUUUUUAAAUGAGGUGCUGCUUCUUGUCAUUUAUUUUCUCAACUUAUGGAUUCAAGUAGAGGCAAAUGGUUUCGGAAGGUAGAAGAGAUUGGAAAUUGUAAGCAGACCUCCUUAUGUGCAAAUUGCAACCUGCUUACUGAGGAAACACCAUAGAUUGUUUAUCCUAUCAGGAAUUGCCCCUAAAAUCACAAAUGCCGUGUGCUUUCACAGUGGCUCAAGCCGUUCUCCACUGUCAUAGCAUGAUCUCUCUGAUGAUUGGUUGCCGCUUAGUUCAUGGCAGAUUUACUUGAAAGUUGGCCUAAUAUAGCAACCCUCGUCUCUGCCAUGCCUCUGAUACGUCUUCUUAAGAAAAUCUAAUCCAGUGUCCGCCUAGAAAAGCUCCUUCUUGUCUGUUGUUUCACCUCAAGGCAGUUAAAUACAGAUGACCGCAAUGAAAAAGAAACAGCCGAGGAUCAACAAAGAAUUGCUAGAGUUUCCGAGGGGAUCCAACAAAUUGCCAAGUUGAGUUUUCUUAGGUCCUAUAUACUUUUCUAUUUUGAUAAGUUCCUCAGUCUUUCUAUUAUGUUGGUAACGACUCUUGUUCCAUCAUAUAUUCUGGUUUGGAAGGCAUAACAGUUGUUUAAUGUGCUCUUAAAAUAUCUGGAACAACAAAUUCUGCUCCAUGCCACCAGCAACUGCUUAGUUGAACACUAAUUUUUGCAACCGCCAAUGUGCAAAACUUGCUCUUAACCGUAGUUACAGACUUACUGGGGUUUCUAAGGUCUCUUUCAUGUAAUGGCUCUUUUUUAGUUUCUUUUCA